rnacentral:rRNA from 1 species
UACGUAGGGGGCUAGCGUUGUCCGGAAUCAUUGGGCGUAAAGCGCACGUAGGCGGAUCGUUAAGUCGGGGGUGAAAUCCUGGAGCUCAACUCCAGAACUGCCUUCGAUACUGGCGAUCUUGAGUCCGGAAGAGGUGAGUGGAACUCCUAGUGUAGAGGUGGAAUUCGUAGAUAUUAGGAAGAACACCAGUGGCGAAGGCGGCUCACUGGUCCGGUACUGACGCUGAGGUGCGAAAGCGUGGGGAGCAAACAGG